rnacentral:rRNA from 1 species
UACGUAGGGUGCGAGCGUUGUCCGGAUUUAUUGGGCGUAAAGGGCUCGUAGGCGGCGUGUCGCGUCGGGAGUGAAAGCCCGUUGCUUAACGGCGGGUUGGCUUUCGGUACGGGCAGACUAGAGGUAUGCAGGGGAGAACGGAAUUCCUGGUGUAGCGGUGAAAUGCGCAGAUAUCAGGAGGAACACCGGUGGCGAAGGCGGUUCUCUGGGCAUUACCUGACGCUGAGGAGCGAAAGUGUGGGGAGCGAACAGG